GAAAUUUUAUGUACUCCAUCAACUUCGAAUUUACUAAUGACUUCUGCACCAUCGCCUCAGCCUGUGAUUACUGUUUUGGAGAUUUCUAAAACUAAUGCAGAGAAGUGUAAUGCCUAUUACUAUCGUUAUAAAA
rnacentral:lncRNA from 1 species